UACGGAGGGUGCGAGCGUUACCCGGAAUCACUGGGCGUAAAGGGCGUGUAGGCGGGGCGUUAAGUCUGACUUCAAAGGCCACGGCUCAACCGUGGUAAGGGGUUGGAUACUGACACUCUAGACCUCUGGAGAGGCAACUGGAAUUCUUGGUGUAGCGGUGGAAUGCGUAGAUACCAAGAGGAACACCAAUGGCGAAGGCAGGUUGCUGGACAGAAGGUGACGCUGAGGCGCGAAAGUGUGGGGAGCGAACCGG
rnacentral:rRNA from 1 species